UACGGGGGGGGCAAGCGUUGUUCGGAAUUACUGGGCGUAAAGGGCUCGUAGGUGGCCAACUAAGUCAGACGUGAAAUCCCUCAGCUUAACUGGGGAACUGCGUCUGAUACUGGAUGGCUUGAGUUUGGGAGAGGGAUGCGGAAUUCCAGGUGUAGCGGUGAAAUGCGUAGAUAUCUGGAGGAACACCGGUGGCGAAGGCGGCAUCCUGGACCAACACUGACACUGAGGAGCGAGAGCCAGGGGAGCAAACGGG
rnacentral:rRNA from 1 species